rnacentral:rRNA from 1 species
AUGACAAGCACUUUGAAAAGAGGGUGAAAAGAGCCUGAAACCGUUACGAGGGAAGCGGAUUGCAUUGGAUUGGAACGGGUGUCUUUGUGUUCAGCCCGUUUUUGGGUGUAUUCACUUUGAUGCUCAACUGUUGUGGGUUCUCGGGAGGCGAUUUUGGUCACCUGGGGGCUGAGGGCUCCCCUUUAUGGGUUGAGGACGACAGUGUGACGAUGCGAUACGACCCGUCUUGAAACACGGACCAAGGAGUCUAGCGCGGUUGCGAGUCGGAGGGUAUUAAAACCCGUGGGCGAAGUGAAAGCGAGUGUAAAAAACAAGCAGUUUGAGGCGGCAUAAAAUCGUUGAUUUUAGGUCUGACCUUGAGCAGUUGCGCUGGGACCCGAAAGAUGGUGAACUAUGCCGGAGUAGGGUGAAGCCAGGGGAAACCCUGGUGGAGGCUCGUAGCGGUGCUGACGUGCAAAUCGCUCGUCGAACUUGGGUAUAGGGGCGAAAGACUAAUCGAACCAUCUAGUAGCUGGUUCCCUCCGAAGUUUCUCUCAGGAUAGCUAGGUGACAAUACGUUGUUUUGUGC